rnacentral:rRNA from 1 species
AGAGUUUGAUCCUGGCUCAGAUUGAACGCUAGCGGGAUGCCUUACACAUGCAAGUCGAACGGCAGCGCGGACUUCGGUCUGGCGGCGAGUGGCGAACGGGUGAGUAAUGUAUCGGAACGUGCCCAGUAGCGGGGGAUAACUACGCGAAAGCGUAGCUAAUACCGCAUACGCCCUACGGGGGAAAGCGGGGGACCUUCGGGCCUCGCACUAUUGGAGCGGCCGAUAUCGGAUUAGCUAGUUGGUGGGGUAACGGCUCACCAAGGCGACGAUCCGUAGCUGGUUUGAGAGGACGACCAGCCACACUGGGACUGAGACACGGCCCAGACUCCUACGGGAGGCAGCAGUGGGGAAUUUUGGACAAUGGGGGCAACCCUGAUCCAGCCAUCCCGCGUGUGCGAUGAAGGCCUUCGGGUUGUAAAGCACUUUUGGCAGGAAAGAAACGGCGCUGGUUAAUACCUGGCGCAACUGACGGUACCUGCAGAAUAAGCACCGGCUAACUACGUGCCAGCAGCCGCGGUAAUACGUAGGGUGCAAGCGUUAAUCGGAAUUACUGGGCGUAAAGCGUGCGCAGGCGGUUCGGAAAGAAAGAUGUGAAAUCCCAGGGCUUAACCUUGGAACUGCAUUUUUAACUACCGGGCUAGAGUGUGUCAGAGGGAGGUG